AGCGCCCCAAAGCGCAGCAUCUGAUAAAUGUUUUGUUUCUAUUUAAAAUAAUAAUGAAGAUGAAUGCUUAAAAGUCCGACAAAGUCCAAUGUCUUUUUUUUUGUUGUUAAACGAACCGUCUAUGGACUCUUUUUUUCCCCUUCAGAUUCUAACAUGAGUCUUGCAUGGAGCUAGGGAGAGGACAAUUUCCAGAGUUUCGAUUUCAUUCUGACAAAGAAAGUCGACUUCUAUUUGUACAAGUCUUCCAUUAAUUACCCAAAAGAAGACUAUAUUAAAAGAAAAAUAUUAAGAGCCACUUCCUCCUUCCCCCAAGCCACAUUCUUUUCUUCCAACAUCACUCAGGUCCACGGCGGGCUGACGAGUGCAUACUUGGGCAAAAGGAGAUGAGUUAAAGACAAAAAAGGCUCAAUUGUUGGCUAGGAGUCCUGCUAGGGAGGCUGUAAAAAAUGGGGGCUUGGAUGAGUACUUUUAAUUUAAGGUUUAUAUUGCUCCUCUGAGUGCAUUCGUUGAAUUUUUGAGAAUUUCAUAUCACCUGGUGGUGAAAAAGACCACUCCAAAACAUUCGGCCCUCAGAAGUACCUGAGCCCUUAUAAGCAGAGCUCCCUUCAAUUCAACAAGUAUUUAUUGAGCACCUUCCUCGUGCCUAGUACGGCGCUAAGCACUACUUCGGGAUCGGUGGAGUCGUUAUUCACACUGACAAGCGGUAGUUAGUAAUCUGUUCCUCCUACGCCGCGUUUUCAUUGUAGUCCUUCAUUCACUACACAUUUCAUUCUCCUUUGGAUCUCAGACUGGGCUGCCUCAGAACAUCAUUUCUUCUUUCUGGGGAAGAAUUGGAGGUGAAGAGCUUCGGGGGUGUUUGAGAGCGAAAGAGAGAGAACCUCUCCACUUCAGAAACAAAGUUCCCAACCGUGGAUCCUGUCUCUAAGACUUGCAAGCUUUGUCAUGAAGCUGGAAGAUUGACGGGGUUUAAGGCCCUACCUUCUAGAGUCGGCUCAGCAGCAUUUACAGAACUUGGGAUUUGUGUACCUCUGGACCUCUUCAUGGAGCUGCCCACCCUAAGGGCCUGUGAGGAGACUCCAUUUUCCUGGCUCCUCUACCUUUACCCAGGCACUUCCAGACCUCGCUGUGCCGCUGUCUGACUGUCCUCGUCUCCCCAGCUCUGCUCUGUUCUUUUCUUUAAGAAGGACCUUCCCCAGCACACAGAAACUAAGGCUCCACUUGGCCAUGCCCAGCUCAACUCAGGAACAGAGAGGAAGAUGCAUCUUCUUCGGCUGCAUCUUAACUGCUGGGUUCAGAUCUGGGAAGAAAGUGUGGAUCUGGCUCCGCAUUUGGGGCCUCAAGAUGAAUGUUCCCAGACCUCGGGGUUUUUCACCAAUGAGAAGAGCUCCCUUUUCAGAGUUAUGGAGGAUAGGAGGCAGAAAAGCUUGGCCUCCAGGAGGGCCUUGCUUCCCAGCCUUGGUCCUUAUAACCCUUCCCAGCUGUUUAAGCCUACAGUCACCCACCCCCUUGGCCUCUGAGAACAGAGUUCUGAAAAGUAUUGUUAUAUCAAACAGGGACCUGAGGACUUUUCCCACAUACUCUCCUUCUAGCUGUCUCAAAAAAGGUUCUUCCAAGGAUCAGCUGCCAGCUUGCAGAAAGUUAGAACUAGGUCAGGUUCUGUUGGUUCAGGCUUAAUUGGGACUUCUGGGCUUUAAUCUGCCUACUUAAGAUGCCCUGGGAAGAGAGUUGCAAGCCCGAGCUACACUAGAGGCCUGAAACCAGGGCUGGCCUAGCUAUAUCAUUUGGUCUGCUGCUGUCCCAUAGCCCUGGUUCAAUCCCUUCCUGUUCCAGUACAUGCUCUUUCAGUCCUUUUCUUUAUUUCCUAUUUUCCCCUCACCUUCCUUCCCUUAUUCUUCCUCCUCUUAGCUCUAUAAAGAUUUAAUUAAACUGGAAGGACCAAUUCCCAGAAUAAGAGGGAACACUGAGGGUGGGGUGGGGGAGAAAGCUUUUGGUCUUAUAACCAAAAUCUAACACUUGCCUCCCUCUUUGAUGUCCUUAGACACUGAGAUCAAGUUAUUAAUAUUCCAAGUUGCCUUCCCUGGCUCUGGAAAGUACUUUUGCUCCCCAGAGCACCAAACUGUGCAGCCCUCCCUCCCCACUCCAGCUCUUCUCCCCUACCACAGGACAACCUUCACUGCUGGCAUUAUCCCCAAGCAGUAGAGUUCCAGCCCUGUCUGCCCAACUCUUCUCAGAGAGGAGGAGGUAUUUCUGCACUCUUCCAAGGUCCCAAUCUUUUCCGUGGAAAUCCCCAAAUUUGCAGAUCCAGCAAGACCCCCAGUCCCUUCAGUUGUGGCAGAUACCAAGCAUCUACCACAUGGGAUGAGAACUUGGGGUGCCUCUACCAGUAGCAAAUUCUGGGGGAUCCCAGUGCUUAAUUCCUGUUUUCCUCUUCUUCCAUUCUCCCCCCUCCCAUAAAUGGCAUAAAUGUAACAUCUCCCUCUGUUUUCAUUCCUUCUAGUCCCAGUGGGUAAAUUCAAGACUCCAGAUUUUGGAAUCUAUAAAAUUUGGCACCAAAAUGGGGGGGGGGACACUAGGAGUGAGCUAGGACUGAACACACUCCUGAACUUCUCUGGUUGGGCUUGACUUCUGGGGUCUCCUCUAGAGAGAGGGAACAGAUACAAAAGUGCUGAGAUUAUUGGAGCCCAGUUGGGACAGAGUUCUCUGAAUUUCUGAGCUCUACUGCUUAGCAGGCUGGAAGGCUCUUCUGUUUUCCAGAUCUUAGGGUUUCUUUUCUCCUCCCUUUCCCUAUGAAACUUCAUGCAAGUGGCUUCAGCUGCUUCAUAUUGGGAAAUAGAUGGUAUAGAGACAGAGACUAAGAGCUCUGUUUUCACAAAUAGGGGAAAACACAUGGCAUGUAAUUCUAUACACAUUCAAUGGCACUGUGCUAGGUACUAGAGAAGCAAAGCUGUAUAUGACAUAGCCCUCAGGAAGUUAUAAUCUAAUCCUAAUAGACAUAUGAGUGUAUCAGACUACCAGGAAGUGGGUGAGAUAUAUAUGUGUUAUAUACAACAAGCAUACAUCAUGAAAACUCAUUAACUUGUACUGCUUCGACAUUUGCAACCACCUGGGUCAAAGAGUUUACUUGAAGUUCAUUUUGCUGGUCAAAUCCUGUUUUCUUAGAUUAACAUGAGCAAAUAAAUAAUAGGCUUGAUUUGGGAGGGAAACUUUAAAAUAGGAAGGGGAGUUAAUAAGGUGAAUUUUUGUUUUCCAUAGAUGCUAUUUUCUUUUUGUAAUUUUAAAUAAAUGUUAUUGAUGUCUUUGUCUUUA